GAUGAACGCUAGCGGCGUGCCUUAUGCAUGCAAGUCGAACGGUCUUAAGCAAUUAAGAUAGUGGCGAACGGGUGAGUAACGCGUAAGUAACCUACCUCUAAGUGGGGGAUAGCUUCGGGAAACUGAAGGUAAUACCGCAUGUGGUGGACCGACAUAUGUUGGUUCACUAAAGCCGUAAGGCGCUUGGUGAGGGGCUUGCGUCCGAUUAGCUAGUUGGUGGGGUAAUGGCCUACCAAGGCUUCGAUCGGUAGCUGGUCUGAGAGGAUGAUCAGCCACACUGGACUGAGACACGGCCCAGACUCCUACGGGAGGCAGCAGCAAGGAAUCUUGGGCAAUGGGCGAAAGCCUGACCCAGCAACGCCGCGUGAGGGAUGAAGGCUUUCGGGUUGUAAACCUCUUUUCAUAGGGAAGAAUAAUGACGGUACCUGUGGAAUAAGCUUCGGCUAACUACGU
rnacentral:rRNA from 1 species